AGUUUGCCCAGAUCUCCUUCUAGAGCCUUCCAAGAAAGUCUAUACAGUGGAUCCAGGCUGGCAGCAGCCAGCAGACUACUCCACAGCAUGGCAGGGACAGAAGGGGAUACUUCAGGUCCCCAUCAUGUCAGCCUUUGUGAGAUGCUCAUCUUCCCUGCAACAUACCUCUAAUGAUGCUGUCACUUGGAAAGCUACCUGCUCCUGAUUCUAUGCUGACAUCGAUCUUCUACACCCAGUAAGUGUGAAAUAUGAACCCAGUAAGAUCAGGAUCUAGAGGAAGACCAGAUGGUCAAGAGUCCUUCGAUCGG